ACUUUUUGUAAACUGACACUACAAUUUAUGUCCCUGGAUAAAAGAGAUCGAAGUUGACACAUAGUGUUCCUGAACAUCUAACUCACUGUACGUCUCAAGCUCGUUUGGUUCGCAUUUAAAUCUAACGUUAACCGUAUCAACUGAUUAUUCGCUCUAAACCUCUGAAUAACGUACAAAACAAAAAGAUAAGAGGGAAGACAUCACAC
rnacentral:lncRNA from 1 species